UGUUUCGGCUAGGGGGCCAUCCCGGCUUACCAACCCGAUGCAAACUGCGAAUACCGGAGAAUGUUAUCACGGGAGACACACGGCGGGUGCUAACGUCCGUCGUGAAGAGGGAAACAACCCAGACCGCCAGCUAAGGUCCCAAAGUCAUGGUUAAGUGGGAAACGAUGUGGGAAGGCCCAGACAGCCAGGAUGUUGGCUUAGAAGCAGCCAUCAUUUAAAGAAAGCGUAAUAGCUCACUGGUCGAGUCGGCCUGCGCGGAAGAUGUAACGGGGCUAAACCAUGCACCGAAGCUGCGGCAGCGACGCUGAUGCGUUGUUGGGUAGGGGAGCGUUCUGUAAGCCUGCGAAGGUGGCCUGUGAGGGUUGCUGGAGGUAUCAGAAGUGCGAAUGCUGACAUAAGUAACGAUAAAGCGGGUGAAAAGCCCGCUCGCCGGAAGACCAAGGGUUCCUGUCCAACGUUAAUCGGGGCAGGGUGAGUCGACCCCUAAGGCGAGGCCGAAAGGCGUAGUCGAUGGGAAACGGGUUAAUAUUCCCGUACUUGGUGUUACUGCGAAGGGGGGACGGAGAAGGCUAUGUUGGCCGGGCGACGGUUGUCCCGGUUUAAGCGUGUAGGUGUGUGUUCCAGGUAAAUCCGGUUCACUUUAACACUGAGGCGUGACGACGAGGCACUACGGUGCUGAAGUAACAAAUGCCCUGCUUCCAGGAAAAGCCUCUAAGCAUCAGGUAACAUCAAAUCGUACCCCAAACCGACACAGGUGGUCAGGUAGAGAAUACCAAGGCGCUUGAGAGAACUCGGGUGAAGGAACUAGGCAAAAUGGUGCCGUAACUUCGGGAGAAGGCACGCUGACACGUAGGUGAAGUGAUUUACUCAUGGAGCUGAAGUCAGUCGAAGAUACCAGCUGGCUGCAACUGUUUAUUAAAAACACAGCACUGUGCAAACACGAAAGUGGACGUAUACGGUGUGACGCCUGCCCGGUGCCGGAAGGUUAAUUGAUGGGGUCAGCGCAAGCGAAGCUCCUGAUCGAAGCCCCGGUAAACGGCGGCCGUAACUAUAACGGUCCUAAGGUAGCGAAAUUCCUUGUCGGGUAAGUUCCGACCUGCACGAAUGGCGUAAUGAUGGCCAGGCUGUCUCCACCCGAGACUCAGUGAAAUUGAACUCGCUGUGAAGAUGCAGUGUACCCGCGGCAAGACGGAAAGACCCCGUGAACCUUUACUAUAGCUUGACACUGAACAUUGAGCCUUGAUGUGUAGGAUAGGUGGGAGGCUUUGAAGUGUGGACGCCAGUCUGCAUGGAGCCGACCUUGAAAUACCACCCUUUAAUGUUU
rnacentral:rRNA from 1 species